rnacentral:rRNA from 1 species
UACGGAGGGUGCAAGCGUUAUCCGGAUUCACUGGGUUUAAAGGGUGCGUAGGAGGGCAGGGAAGUCAGUGGUGAAAUCUCCGGGCUUAACUCGGAACUGCCGUUGAUACUCUCUGUCUUGAAUCCCGUGGAGAUGAGCGGAAUAUGUCAUGUAGCGGUGAAAUGCUUAGAGAUGACAUAGAACACCGAUUGCGAAGGCAGCUCGUUACACGCAGAUUGACUCUGAGGCACGAAAGCGUGGGGGAUCAAACAGG